rnacentral:rRNA from 1 species
GCAGGUUCCCCUACGGCUACCUUGUUACGACUUCACCCCAGUCACUGAGCCUACCGUGGCCGGCUGCCUCCUGUUGCCAGGUUAGCGCACCGUCGUCGGGUAAACCCAAUUCCCAUGGUGUGACGGGCGGUGUGUACAAGGCCCGGGAACGGAUUCACCGCGGCAUGCUGAUCCGCGAUUACUAGCGAUUCCGACUUCAUGCAGUCGAGUUGCAGACUGCAAUCCGAACUGAGACGGCUUUUUGAGAUUAGCUCCCCCUUGCGGGAUCGCAACCCACUGUCACCGCCAUUGUAGCACGUGUGUAGCCCAGCCCGUAAGGCGCAUGAGGACUUGACGUCAUCCCCACCUUCCUCCGGCUUGUCACCGGCAGUUUCUUCAGAGUGCCCG